rnacentral:rRNA from 1 species
CCCUUAGAUGUUCUGGGCCGCACGCGUGCUACACUGAGUGGAUCAGCGGGUCAGGUUGCGCGAAAGCGUUUCCUAAUCUUUAAAUCCGCUCGUGAUGGGGAUUGACGGUUGCAAUUUUCUGUCAUGAACGAGGAAUACCUUGUAAGCGCGGGUCAUCAUCCCGCGCUGAAUACGUCCCUGCCCUUUGUACACUCCGCCCGUCGCUCCUACCGAUUGAGUGGUCCGGUGAGGCUUUGGGAUCUGAGCGGAAAGAGCGUUUCGCUGUUUCUGCUCGGAAAACUCAGUCGAACCUUAUCAUUUAGAGGAAGGAGAAGUCGUAACA